CGAAUUUCUAAGGGGUGCUCGCAGUGCGCGGGCUGAGAUUAUACCCAUUGAACCGGACACGGGUAAUGCCGAGACCGGGACGCAUAAUCAACAUUACAU
rnacentral:ncRNA from 1 species